rnacentral:rRNA from 2 species
GCUCUCCCAAAUUGAUUUUAUGCUUGCAUAAAUGAUUUUUGGAUUCGGAGCGAGUGGCGAACUGGUGAGUAACACGUGGGUAACCUGCCCCGAAGCGGGGGAUAACAUUUGGAAACAAGUGCUAAUACCGCAUAAUUAGUUGGAACCGCAUGGUUCCAACUUGAAAGAUGGCUCUGCUAUCACUUUGGGAUGGACCCGCGCCGUAUUAGUUAGUUGGUGAGAUAAAAGCCCACCAAGACGAUGAUACGUAGCCGACCUGAGAGGGUAAUCGGCCACAUUGGGACUGAGACACGGCCCAGACUCCUACGGGAGGCAGCAGUAGGGAAUCUUCCACAAUGGACGAAAGUCUGAUGGAGCAACGCCGCGUGAGUGAUGAAGGUUUUCGGAUCGUAAAACUCUGUUGUUAAAGAAGAACAAGUGUUAGAGUAACUGUUAACACUUUGACGGUAUUUAACCAGAAAGCCACGGCUAACUACGUGCCAGCAGCCGCGGUAAUACGUAGGUGGCAAGCGUUGUCCGGAUUUAUUGGGCGUAAAGCGAGCGCAGGCGGUUUUGUAAGUCUGCUGUGAAAGCCCUCAGCUCAACUGAGGAAGUGCAGUGGAAACUACAAAACUUGAGUACAGAAGAGGAAAGUGGAACUCCAUGUGUAGCGGUGAAAUGCGUAGAUAUAUGGAAGAACACCAGUGGCGAAGGCGGCUUUCUGGUCUGUUACUGACGCUGAGGCUCGAAAGCAUGGGUAGCGAACAGGAUUAGAUACCCUGGUAGUCCAUGCCGUAAACGAUGAAUACUAGGUGUUGGAGGGUUUCCGCCCUUCAGUGCCGCAGCUAACGCAUUAAGUAUUCCGCCUGGGGAGUACGACCGCAAGGUUGAAACUCAAAGGAAUUGACGGGGGCCCGCACAAGUGGUGGAGCAUGUGGUUUAAUUCGAUGCUACGCGAAGAACCUUACCAGCUCUUGACAUCUUCUGCCAACCCAAGAGAUUGGGCGUUCCCUUCGGGGACAGAAUGACAGGUGGUGCAUGGUUGUCGUCAGCUCGUGUCGUGAGAUGUUGGGUUAAGUCCCGCAACGAGCGCAACCCUUAUUAUUAGUUGCCAGCAUUUAGUUGGGCACUCUAGUGAGACUGCCGGUGAUAAACCGGAGGAAGGUGGGGACGACGUCAAAUCAUCAUGCCCCUUAUGAGCUGGGCUACACACGUGCUACAAUGGAUGGUACAACGAGUCGCGAAACCGCGAGGUCAAGCUAAUCUCUUAAAGCCAUUCUCAGUUCGGAUUGCAGGCUGCAACUCGCCUGCAUGAA